GCUACAUUGAAGACCCAUUGGUGGCCUCCGGCUGUGUCUGCUCUAUUGUCGGUUUGUUGUCGCUUUGACACAUUCCCCAUUUCCUUUCUCAAUUUUAUUACUUAAAAAAGAAGACCGAAACUUGCUUUAUUGACUACCUUCUUUAUGUAUGCAAAAUUUUAAAGACCUUUUCAAGAUUCUUGAGUGAUUUUGGAUGCAGAACUACGAAAAAAACUAUGUAAAAAAGGCAACAGUUGCAUACCGCUGUUCGGAGCUGAAUGUUCCCAACAUAAUAUAUAAACAGUGCUUAUUUUCAUGAAUCUCAACAUUGUUCAUCAUCAAAAUAUAAGAUACUACCCUUCUCCAUCCCA
rnacentral:lncRNA from 1 species